rnacentral:rRNA from 1 species
GCAUUUAGUUGGGCACUCUAAGGGGACUGCCGGUGAUAAGCCGAGAGGAAGGUGGGGAUGACGUCAAGUCCUCAUGGCCCUUACGGGCUGGGCUACACACGUGCUACAAUGGUGGUGACAGUGGGCAGCGAGACAGCGAUGUCGAGCUAAUCUCCAAAAGCCAUCUCAGUUCGGAUUGCACUCUGCAACUCGAGUGCAUGAAGUUGGAAUCGCUAGUAAUCGCAGAUCAGCAUGCUGCGGUGAAUACGUUCCCGGGCCUUGUACACACCGCCCGUCACACCAUGGGAGUUGGUUUUACCCGAAGGUAGUGCGCUAACCGCAAGGAG